CAAAGAUUUAUCGCUCGAAGAUGGGCUCGCGUCCGAUUAGGUAGUUGGUGAGGUAACGGCCCACCAAGCCGACGAUCGGUAGCCGGACUGAGAGGUUGAACGGCCACAUUGGGACUGAGACACGGCCCAGACUCCUACGGGAGGCAGCAGUGGGGGAUAUUGCACAAUGGGGGAAACCCUGAUGCAGCGACGCCGCGUGUGGGAAGACGGUCUUCGGAUUGUAAACCACUGUCCCCAGGGACGAAAAUGACGGUACCUGGGGAGGAAGCUCCGGCUAACUACGUGCCAGCAGCCGCGGUAAUACGUAGGGAGCAAGCGUUGUCCGGAAUUACUGGGUGUAAAGGGAGCGUAGGCGGGGAUGCAAGUUGGGUGUCAAAACUACCGGCUCAACCGAUAGUCGCACUCAAAACUGCAGCUCUUGAGUGAAGUAGAGGCAGGCGGAAUUCCUAGUGUAGCGGUGAAAUGCGUAGAUAUUAGGAGGAACACCAGUGGCGAAGGCGGCCUGCUGGGCUUUUACUGACGCUGAGGCUCGAAAGUGUGGGGAGCAAACAGGAUUAGAUACCCUGGUAGUCCACACCGUAAACGAUGAUUACUAGGUGUGGGGGGUCUGACCCCCUCC
rnacentral:rRNA from 1 species